AGUGGCGGACGGGUGCGUAAUGUGUAGGGAUCUGCCCUGAAGUGGGGGACAACCCGGGGAAACCCGGGCUAAUACCGCAUAAUACUCUACGGAGGAAAUCUGGCACGCAAGUGCUGGGGCUUUAGGAUGAACCUACAUCCGAUUAGUUAGUUGGUGAGGUAAUGGCUCACCAAGGCGAUGAUCGGUAGCUGGUCUGAGAGGAUGACCAGCCACACUGGGACUGAGACACGGCCCAGACUCCUACGGGAGGCAGCAGUGGGGAAUAUUGGACAAUGGGGGAAACCCUGAUCCAGCAAUGCCGCGUGGGUGAAGAAGGCCUUCGGGUUGUAAAGCCCUUUAGGCGGGGAAGAAGGUUCUAGGGUGAUAAGCCUUAGAGCUUGACGGUACCCGCAGAAUAAGCACCGGCUAACUCUGUGCCAGCAGCCGCGGUAAUACAGAGGGUGCGAGCGUUAAUCGGAUUUACUGGGCGUAAAGGGCGCGUAGGUGGUAAAGCAAGUAAGAUGUGAAAGCCCUGGGCUUAACCUGGGAAGUGCAUCUUAAACUGCUUAACUCGAGUAUGGUAGAGGGUAGUGGAAUUUCCGGUGUAGCGGUGAAAUGCGUAGAGAUCGGAAGGAACGCCAGUGGUGAAGACGACUACCUGGACCAAUACUGACACUGAGGCGCGAAAGCGUGGGGAUCAAACAGGAUUAGAUACCCUGGUAGUCCUAGCCCUAAACGAUCAGGACUUGGGGUGCCACCCGUUCGGGUGUCGUCCCGGAGCUAACGCGUUAAGUCCUGCACCUGGGGAGUACGGUCGCAAGACUGAAACUCAAAGGAAUUGACGGGGGCCCGCACAAGCGGUGGAACAUGUGGUUCAAUUCGA
rnacentral:rRNA from 1 species